ACGCUAGCUACAGGCUUAACACAUGCAAGUCGAGGGGCAGCAUGGUCUUAGCUUGCUAAGACUGAUGGCGACCGGCGCACGGGUGAGUAACACGUAUCCAACCUGCCGUCUACUCUUGGACAGCCUUCUGAAAGGAAGAUUAAUACAAGAUGGCAUCAUGAGUCCGCAUGUUCACAUGAUUAAAGGUAUUCCGGUAGACGAUGGGGAUGCGUUCCAUUAGAUAGUAGGCGGGGUAACGGCCCACCUAGUCUUCGAUGGAUAGGGGUUCUGAGAGGAAGGUCCCCCACAUUGGAACUGAGACACGGUCCAAACUCCUACGGGAGGCAGCAGUGAGGAAUAUUGGUCAAUGGGCGAGAGCCUGAACCAGCCAAGUAGCGUGAAGGAUGACUGCCCUAUGGGUUGUAAACUUCUUUUAUAAAGGAAUAAAGUCGGGUAUGGAUACCCGUUUGCAUGUACUUUAUGAAUAAGGAUCGGCUAACUCCGUGCCAGCAGCCGCGGUAAUACGGAGGAUCCGAGCGUUAUCCGGAUUUAUUGGGUUUAAAGGGAGCGUAGAUGGAUGUUUAAGUCAGUUGUGAAAGUUUGCGGCUCAACCGUAAAAUUGCAGUUGAUACUGGAUAUCUUGAGUGCAGUUGAGGCAGGCGGAAUUCGUGGUGUAGCGGUGAAAUGCUUAGAUAUCACGAAGAACUCCGAUUGCGAAGGCAGCCUGCUAAGCUGCAACUGACAUUGAGGCUCGAAAGUGUGGGUAUCAAACAGGAUUAGAUACCCUGGUAGUCCACACGGUAAACGAUGAAUACUCGCUGUUUGCGAUAUACUGCCAGCGGCCCAGCGAAAGCGUUAAGUAUUCCACCCUGGGGAGUACGCCGGCCAACGUGAAACUCCAAAGAAUUGACCGGGGGCCCGCACAAGCGGAGGAACAUGUGAUUUUAAUUUGAUGUUACGCGAGGAACCUUACCCGGGCUUAAAUUGCAGAUGAAUUACGGUGAAAGCCGUAAGCCGCAAGGCAUCUGUGAAGGUGCCGCAUGGUUGUUGUCAGCUGGUGCCGUGAGGUGUCGGCUUAAGUGCCAUAACGAGCGCAACCCUUGUUGUCAGUUACUAACAGGUUCCGCUGAGGACUCUGACAAGACUGCCAUCGUAAGAUGUGAGGAAGGUGGGGAUGACGUCAAAUCAGCACGGCCCUUACGUCCGGGGCUACACACGUGUUACAAUGGGGGGUACAGAGGGCCGCUACCACGCGAGUGGAUGCCAAUCCCCAAAACCUCUCUCAGUUCGGACUGGAGUCUGCAACCCGACUCCACGAAGCUGGAUUCGCUAGUAAUCGCGCAUCAGCCAUGGCGCGGUGAAUACGUUCCCGGGCCUUGUACACACCGCCCGUCAAGCCAUGAAAGCCGGGGGUACCUGAAGUACGUAACCGCAAGGAGCGUCCUAGGGUAAAACUGGUAAUUGG
rnacentral:rRNA from 1 species